rnacentral:rRNA from 1 species
GUAGGGUCCGAGCGUUUAUCCGGAAUCAUUGGGCGUAAAGAGCUCGUAGGCGGUUCAGCAAGUCGGCUGUGAAAGUUCGAGGCUCAACCUCGAAAUUGCAGUCGAUACUGCUGUGACUCGAGUCCGGUAGAGGAGAAUGGAAUUCCCGGUGUAGCGGUGAAAUGCGCAGAUAUCGGGAGGAACACCAGUAGCGAAGGCGGUUCUCUGGGCCGGCACUGACGCUGAGGAGCGAAAGCGUGGGGGAGCAAACAGGAUUAGAUACCCUGGUAGUCCACGCCGUAAACGUUGGAUGCUAGGUGUGGCGGUCUACCAACGACUGCCGUGCCGAAGCUAACGCAUUAAGCAUCCCCGCCUGGGAGUACGGCCGCAAGGCUA